rnacentral:lncRNA from 1 species
AAACUAGCGCAGAGGAUAGGAAGAGUGUCUAACGGGUGGGCGGGUUAUUACUGAACUAGUUCGGAUUCAUCCGGGUAAGAGGGUACAAGGGGCCGGGUUAGUGUUUUUUUUUUAUAUUUUGUAUAAUUACUGUAAUUUAUAUUAAUAUAAAGUAAAAAUAUAAGGAAUAUAAUGAUGAUGGAAAAAAAUUGUACUUAUAAAUUGCAAGUGCUACAUUUAUAAACUUAUAAUUGAUAGGUCCACAUUUAACAAGUAAAUUAACGAAAAAGAGUACAUUUAAAGAUUUUGCAUUGCCUUGACUCUAAAACCUUAAAAAUAAAUAAAAAAUAAUUGAAAUCUAGCCUUUAAACUAGGUCGGGCUGGGCCGUUUAAUCGGUUCUACAAGGAUUUUGGUUGACGGGUUUGACCGGUCCGGUUAACCGGAUAAAUUAAAGUGAACAGACCAAUUCCCCUAACCUAAGUAAUCGAGGCAUUUGCACUUGUACCCGUUUUUUGCGUCACGUUUUAAUUGUAUUCGCUUUGCAAAAAAAAUUGCAAGCGUACCACUUUUUUGCAUAAUUUCAGCAUACGGGGCUGAAGUAGCAAAGGUAAAUCACGCAAAAUUUCAGUUCAGCUCUAGAGUUGAAAUUUUUAUUUUUGUAACUGACGAACAUUAGCGCUAGAGCUGAAGUUCUAAUUUGGCUGUGAUUACAAAGCUUCUAUAGUAACAGUUCUUAACUAAAAAACUUAGGAAAUGUAGUAUAUUCUGGUAAAAUAUUUUCAUAUUUUGCACUUCCCCUUCACUACUAAAAUUGAUUCAGUACUUCUGAACUCUACAUGGUAGAAAGAAUCCAAGCUUCACUUUUUUUUUCCAAUUCCUUUAUUUUUAAUGAACUGCAUCAGAUACCUUAUCUCUAAAAGUACGACCCAGUACAAUACCACUCAGUGGUGUCU